UGUAAAUAUGACUUUUGGAAGGCAAAAUAAGGAGAUGGGAAAGUGAAAGAAAAGGGAAGAGCUUUGGGGGCUCAAGGACGGUAGGAAAAUUAGUAACAGUAGGUUGAUGGACAGUUACUAGUAGUUUACAACGAGGAGAGCCCCUAGUCACAGUCGGCCCCCCAUGUACCAUGGAUUAUGGAUAGAACCCCCGAGCUCAGCUCUUUGUUUUGUUUUCUUCAUUGAUAUCACCAUGAAAUUGUAUUCAAAGUUGAUUCAAGAUAAGAUCUGUGUUUUUGAAAUUUGUAGCUUGUAACAUAGAUUGCAGCCCAUGGAAAAUUUUUAAAAUUGUCAGAUUGGAUAUGAAACUAUAUCUUCUUGUUUUUUUUC